rnacentral:tRNA from 1 species
GGAGGGCUAGCCUAACUGGCAAGGCAGCGGACUUGAAAUCCGCCGACCCAGCGAUGGGUCUUGGGGGUUCAAAUCCCUCGCCCUCC